rnacentral:rRNA from 1 species
CCUACGGGACGCAGCAGUAGGGAAUCUUCCACAAUGGGCGAAAGCCUGAUGUAGCAACUCCCCUUGUGUGAAGACGGUCUUCGGAUCGUAAAACCCUGUUGUUAGAGAAGAAAGUGCGUGAGAGUAACUGUUCACGUUUCGACGGUAUCUAACCAGAAAGCCACGGCUAACUACGUGCCAGCAGCCGCGGUAAUACGUAGGUGGCAAGCGUUAUCCGGAUUUAUUGGGCGUAAAGGGAACGCAGGCGGUCUUUUAAGUCUGAUGUGAAAGCCUUCGGCUUAACCGGAGUAGUGCAUUGGAACAUG